rnacentral:misc_RNA from 1 species
AAGUCGUAACAAGGUUUCCGUAGGUGAACCUGCGGAAGGAUCAUUAAAGAGUUAGGGUCUUCUAGGCCCGACCUCCCAACCCUGUGUUUAACAAACCAUUUGUUGCUUCGGCGGGCCCGUCUUUGUUGACCGCCGGAGGAGCGUCGAGAGACGCCCUCUGGCCAGCGCCCGCCGAUGGCCAACUAUACCUAAACUCUGAAUAAACAUGCCUAUGUCUAAGUCAUUUAUUAAAUAAAGCAAAACUUUCAACAACGGAUCUCUUGGUUCUG